UAACCUUGUUCCUUACGGAGGUGUAGAAAAUCUGUAGCAUGAUGUAAUGUGUUUUAUUAAAUAUGCAAAUAUUAACCUACUCAAUCCUCAUAAAAACUCAGUGGUGAACUGACUGUUGGCCUGGCAGAUGAGAAGUUUUACUCCCCCACUCUCCAGUGAAACUGGUGAAAAGUAUUUUUAAAGGAAUUAAGAAUGGGUCAAUGAAAUAUACAGCUCCUUUCUGGAAUGUACCUGUUCUGCUACAACCAUGGAUAUCCUGACCUUUCUGUGCCUUUCAGGGACAAGGGUAAUAGAGGAGUUUCAGACUCCCUCUAAAACAAAACAACAACUGAACAAUAAACAACAGAAAAAGAACACAAAAAAAGACGGUGGUACUCUUUCCCCUUUCCUUGCUUUCUCCUGCUACCAAAACAAACAACAAAAACUACAUUGUCUCAUUGGAUGACGAAGCUAAAAUUUUGUAGCAAAUCUAUAGAAGAAAAGAAGUGGAAAUCUACUCAAGAGCUACUGUAAAACACUGUAUACAAAACAACCACUUUGAUUCACAUUAAAAAGUGUUAUCUGUUUCUUUGAAUUCAUAAG
rnacentral:lncRNA from 1 species